rnacentral:rRNA from 1 species
AUUGAACGCUGGCGGCAUGCCUUACACAUGCAAGUCGAACGGCAGCACGGGAGCAAUCCUGGUGGCGAGUGGCGAACGGGUGAGUAAUAUAUCGGAACGUGCCCAGUCGUGGGGGAUAACGCAGCGAAAGCUGUGCUAAUACCGCAUACGAUCUAAGGAUGAAAGCGGGGGAUCGCAAGACCUCGCGCGAUUGGAGCGGCCGAUAUCAGAUUAGCUAGUUGGUGGGGUAAAGGCCCACCAAGGCGACGAUCUGUAGCUGGUCUGAGAGGACGACCAGCCACACUGGAACUGAGACACGGUCCAGACUCCUACGGGAGGCAGCAGUGGGGAAUUUUGGACAAUGGGCGCAAGCCUGAUCCAGCAAUGCCGCGUGCAGGAUGAAGGCCUUCGGGUUGUAAACUGCUUUUGUACGGAACGAAACGGCCCUUUCUAAUACAGGGGGCUAAUGACGGUACCGUAAGAAUAAGCACCGGCUAACUACGUGCCAGCCGCCGCCGUAAAAC